ensembl:lncRNA
AUAGAAAUCUGGCAGCUGUUGAAGUGCACUGUUAGGUACAGAUACAUAAGCCUUAUAAAUAAACCAGUUUUGGCUUGUGCUGUGCUCAGUCUCAGCUAACCCAUCAUGCUCAGAAAUAAAGAUGAAGCUCACUUUCUGAUUUGUAUAAGUACAAAUCCAGACUCAACAGACACUAAAAAACCUGUACGGCCUUUCAUCAGGAAAGCAUCAGUCUUGACAGAGAUAUUUCAGCCAGGGUGCACUACCAAGGGUUUCCCUUGCACGUUUACUAGGAUCAUGGUCAAAGAAAAAUCUCAGUCCCACAGGGCUGAUAGUCCUAUAUGAAUCCAGAGCCAGGCAGAGCCCUGUUCAAAGUGUAAUUAAUGUGCAACCCCAUGCAACCUUCUUUAAACUGUGCCAGGCAGAUGACACAGCAGCCACUCAGAGAGAACUGGAGCAGCAACUGCCAGUGCAGCUACCAGCAAAAGCAGGCAGGGAUCCAGCCUCCAAAACAGAUGAUGCUCUAGCUAGAAAGAAAACCUUGUGUAACAGCUGACUCCAGAUGAACCCAACAGCCAGUGAGGUUACUACACAUGGUGCUGGAGGUAUGGAUGACUGAGGAGUUAGAUAGGGCCAAAUGUAUUGAUAGGACAAGGGAAACAGUUUCAAACUAAAAAGGGGGAGAUUUAAAUUGGGUAUAAGGAAGAAGUUCUUUACAAGGUGGUGGUGAGGAACCAUCAGAGGUUGCCCAGAGAGGUGGUGGUGCCCCAUGUCUGCAGACACCUGAGGUCAGGCUGGAGGGACUCUGAGAACUGAUGGAGCUGUGGGUGUCCCUGUUCAUUGCAAGGAUUUGAACCAGAUGGCUUUUAAGGGUCUGUAAGGGAACUGUUGAAUCACAGCCUGAACCUCUGUUUGACCACCUGAGGCGAGCGCUGAGUCAGCCCGGGAAGCACAGGUGAAGGCAAUUCAGCUGUGUGACUGGAAGGGCUGCAGUCUGGCUGCACCUCUCCUAGACCCCAUUUAAGGGCUGACUCCGAAGGAGGAAGGGUCUCUAUCUGGAGAUCAAUCCUCUUGGAGCCCUUCUGUGAGCCCAGGACAUGGUCCCCUUUAGAUGAUGGUGAACAAUAAAAUAAGAAAGAAAACUGGAAAAUAGAGGCAACACAGCACGUAUGUCAGUCCACGGAGACAGCAAACUGCCUCACUUAAAAGGCAUGUUUCAAGAGAAGAUGCAAUGUUGUGGUGUUUGUGACUGCUGAUCAUUGAGAGAUGGGUAUCACCAGUAGACAAUGCGGAGAGCAGUCUCAGAGGUCCCAGUGCCCUAUGGAAAUUGUCAUGAACCAAACUGUCCCCUGAAGUGCUCUAGGUUUACAGGGAACUCAAAGGUGAAUUAAAGCCAUGUCUGUUUGUAUUUGAUUCCACUGCAAAGUAAAGCACUGAUCUGAACUGACAGCCCCAGACUCACUAGUGGAGACAGCCUUAUUGCAGAAGAAGAAAGCAGUUUCCAGGACAUGCAUGGCUCUGAUAUUGUGAACCCAUUUCCAUCAUUCCUUAGCUUUGCCACAAUCACAAGGACUUAAUUUCAAAGGAGGCAGUCAAUAUCUAAAACUGGAUAGCAAAACUGGUGUGUAAAUGCAGAGGACAGCAUUCACUUACCUGGAAAAGGGAAAUUAUCCCAUUUCCAGAUUUAGAUUUCACCUGUGUAUGCAUUCUUUAACUUACUGCAGGAGACAGAACUGGCUACGGGAUGUUAAAAGAGAAGUAAAAUGCUUCUGGUUCCUAUAAAGGGUAUAUCAACACUUACACUGUUACAGCCUUUGGGAAACUGCCUUGUAAUCUUAAGUAAGUUCUCAAGAGACCAAGCUGUUCAACAGCUGUUCCUU